rnacentral:rRNA from 1 species
UACAGAGACCCCGAGCGUUAUCCGGAAUUAUUGGGCGUAAAGAGCGAGUAGUCGGUAGUGUUAGUCUGACGUUAAAUUCCGAGGCUCAACUUCGGAACCGCGUUGGAAACGGCACCACUAGAGCAGGUAAGAGGCAAGCGGAACGUGCAGUGUAGGGGUGAAAUCCAUUGAUAUUGCACGGAACACCAAAAGCGAAGGCAGCUUGCUAGUGCUUUGCUGACGAUCAAUUGCGAAAGCGUGGGGAUCAAAAAGG